GCUGACGAGUCCCAAACAGGACGAAACACCUGUCC
rfam:Echinostoma caproni strain Egypt genome assembly, scaffold: ECPE_scaffold0004589